rnacentral:rRNA from 1 species
GACGAACGCUGGCGGCGUGCUUAACACGUGCAAGUCGAACGGAAAGGCCUGCUUUCCCUUGUGGAUUGCGGGUACUCGAGUGGCGAACGGGUGAGUAACACGUGAGUGAUCUGCCCCCAACUUGGGUAUAAGCCUGGGAAACUGGGUCUAAUUCCCGGUAGGACUGCAGGGUGGUGCCUGUGGUGGAAAACGAUUUUCUAGUGGUUGGGGAUGAGCUCGCGGCCUAUCAGCUUGUUGGUGGGGUAAUGGCCUACCAAGGCGGCGACGGGUAGCCGGCCUGAGAGGGUGGACGGCCACAUUGGGACUGAGGUACGGCCCAGACUCCUACGGGAGGCAGCAGUGGGGAAUAUUGCACAAUGGGCGGAAGCCUGAUGCAGCGACGCCGCGUGGGGGAUGACGGCCUUCGGGUUGUAAACUCCUUUCGACCGCGAGGAAGCCACCUGGUUGGAAGGGUGGUGACGGUAGUGGUAGAAGAAGCACCGGCUAACUACGUG